rnacentral:rRNA from 1 species
AGGAUGGGACUGCGACCGAUCAGGCUGUUGGCGGGGUAAUGGCCCACCAAACCAGUAACCGGUACGGGCUUUGAGAGAAGGAGCCCGGAGAUGGACACUGAGACAAGGGUCCAGGUCCUACGGGGCGCAGCAGGCGCGAAACCUUCGCAAUGUGCGAAAGCAUGACGAGGUUAAUCCGAGUGGCAUCCGCUGAGGAAGUCUUUUGCCGGCUCUAAAACGGCCGGUGGAUAAGGGGAGGGCAAGCCUGGUGUCAGCCGCCGCGGUAAUACCAGCUCCUCGAGUGGUCGGGGCGAUUAUUGGGCCUAAAGCAUCCGUAGCCGGUUCCGUAGGUCCUCUGUUAAAUCCAACCGCUCAACGGUUGACCUGCAGAGGAUACCGCGGGACUAGGAGGCGGGAGAGGCGGACGGUACUCCGCGUGCAGGGGUAAAAUCCUUUGAUCCGCGGAAGACCACCAGUGGCGAAGGCGGUCCACCAGAACGCGCUCGACGGUGAGGGAUGAAAGCUGGGGGAGCGAACCGGAUUAGAUACCCGGGUAGUCCCAGCCGUAAACGAUGCGAGCUAGAUGAUCCAAUCGCAAAUCGCGAUUGGAGUGUCGCAGGGAAGCCGUUAAGCUCGCCGCCUGGGGAGUACGGUCGCAAGACUGAAACUUAAAGG